rnacentral:rRNA from 1 species
CGAAUCUCGAAAGCCUAUCUCAGUUCGGAUUGGAGGCUGAAACCCGCCUCCAUGAAGUUGGAUUCGCUAGUAAUCGCGCAUCAGCCAUGGCGCGGUGAAUACGUUCCCGGGCCUUGUACACACCGCCCGUCAAGCCAUGGGAGCUGGGGGUGCCUGAAGUUCGUGACCGCAAGGAUCGACCUAGGGCAAAACCGGUGACUGGGGCUAAGUCGUAACAAGGUAGC